CGUGCCUAACACAUGCAAGUCGAACGAGGGUUUGGAAAGCUUGCUUUCCGAAGCCUAGUGGCGGACGGGUGAGUAACGCGUGAGUAUCCUGCCUUUCAGAGGGGAAUAACGUUCUGAAAAGAACGCUAAUACCGCAUAACGUACAGUUACCGCAUGGUAGCAGUACCAAAGGAGCAAUCCGCUGAAAGAUGGACUCGCGUCCGAUUAGCUAGUUGGUGGGGUAAAGGCCUACCAAGGCGACGAUCGGUAGCCGGACUGAGAGGUUGAACGGCCACAUUGGGACUGAGACACGGCCCAGACUCCUACGGGAGGCAGCAGUGGGGGAUAUUGCACAAUGGGGGAAACCCUGAUGCAGCAACGCCGCGUGUGGGAAGAAGGUUUUCGGAUUGUAAACCACUGUUCUUGGUGAAGAUAAUGACGGUAACCAAGGAGAAAGCUCCGGCUAACUACGUGCCAGCAGCCGCGGUAAUACGUAGGGAGCAAGCGUUGUCCGGAUUUACUGGGUGUAAAGGGUGCGUAGGCGGCUAGGCAAGUCAGACGUGAAAACCAUGGGCUCAACCUGUGGACUGCGUUUGAAACUGUUUAGCUUGAGUGAAGUAGAGGUAGGCGGAAUUCCCGGUGUAGCGGUGAAAUGCGUAGAGAUCGGGAGGAACACCAGUGGCGAAGGCGGCCUACUGGGCUUUAACUGACGCUGAGGCACGAAAGCAUGGGUAGCAAACAGGAUUAGAUACCCUGGUAGUCCACGCCGUAAACGAUGAUUAAUAGGUGUGGGGGGUCUGACCCCCUCCGUGCCGGAGUAACACA
rnacentral:rRNA from 1 species